rnacentral:rRNA from 1 species
ACGGAAGGCAGCAGUGAGGAAUAUUGGUCAAUGGACGGAAGUCUGAACCAGCCAUGCCGCGUGAAGGAAUAAGGCCCUAUGGGUCGUAAACUUCUUUUGUGGUGGAGCAAUAAGGUGCACGUGUGCAUCGAUGAGAGUACAUCACGGACAAGCAUCGGCUAACUCCGUGCCAGCAGCCGCGGUAAUACGGAGGAUGCGAGCGUUAUCCGGAUUUAUUGGGUUUAAAGGGUGCGUAGGCUGUUCUUCAAGUCAGAGGUGAAAGACCGGGGCUCAACCCUGGAACUGCCUUUGAUACUGGAGGGCUUGAAUACUGUUGCCGUGGGAGGAAUGAGUAGUGUAGCGGUGAAAUGCAUAGAUAUUACUCAGAACACCGAUUGCGAAGGCAUCUCACGAAGCAGCGAUUGACGCUGAGGCACGAAAGCGUGGGGAUCAAACAGGAUUAGAUACCCUGGUA